rnacentral:rRNA from 1 species
GAUGAACGCUGGCGGCGUGCCUAAUACAUGCAAGUCGAGCGAACAGAUGAGGAGCUUGCUCCUCUGACGUUAGCGGCGGACGGGUGAGUAACACGUGGAUAACCUACCUAUAAGACUGGGAUAACUUCGGGAAACCGGAGCUAAUACCGGAUAAUAUAUUGAACCGCAUGGUUCAAUAGUGAAAGACGGUUUUGCUGUCACUUAUAGAUGGAUCCGCGCCGCAUUAGCUAGUUGGUAAGGUAACGGCUUACCAAGGCAACGAUGCGUAGCCGACCUGAGAGGGUGAUCGGCCACACUGGAACUGCGACACGGUCCAGCCUCCUACGGGAGGCAGCAGUAGGGAAUCUUCCGCAAUGGGCGAACGCCUGACGGAGCAACGCCGCGUGAGUGAUGAAGGUCUUCGGAUCGUAAAACUCUGUUAUUAGGGAAGAACAAAUGUGUAAGUAACUAUGCACGUCUUGACGGUACCUAAUCAGAAAGCCACGGCUAACUACGUG